rnacentral:rRNA from 1 species
AAGUAGACAAGGGCGCAUGGGGGAUGCCUAGGUUCUCAGAGGCGAUGAAGGACGUGCUAAGCUGCGAAAAGCUACGGGGAACUGCACAGAAGUAUUGAUCCGUAGAUAUCCGAAUGGGGCAACCCGGCAGAUUGAAGAUCUGUCACCGAGAGGAGCAAACCCGGGGAACUGAAACAUCUAAGUACCCGGAGGAAAGGACAUCAACCGAGACUCCGCUAGUAGUGGCGAGCGAACGCGGACCAGGCCA